CUGCACUUGAUAACAUCAAUUUAUACAGUAGUUUUUAUAUCAGCAUGAUUCCUUUUGUAAAAACAGAAUAUUUUCUUCACUUUAUACUAUGUUGCUUUAGAAUGAGUUUUAACUACAGUGAAAGGCUUCUUUUAAUCUAGAACAAUUAUAGCCAUUCAAAGAUUGGUGCCAUUUUAAUGGCUGUGUAUUGAUGUAACAAUAUCAGUGUAAAAUGUACAGUGAUACAUCUGUUCCUGUAGAAACAGUCAAAUAUUCCAACAAGGACAGAAGCUUUCUUUGUUAUACAAAUAUUUGGAUCAUCUGGCUUUAGAAAGCUAGUCAUAUAGCUUUGGCUAUAGGUAAAUCCAGAUAGCAUGCAUUUUAUGUGCUUUCAAAGUCUACUGCUUAUUUUGAUGCACUUCUAGAUCUGUUUCACAGUGAGAUGUUUGUUUUUCUGUCUUAAGUGCUGAGAAAUUGAAGGUGAGAUGUUUUCCAUCAAUUAUACAUGUGCUACCAGACCCUCUGCCUAAAUCCUGUGAGGUAAGGAACCUUCCAAACUGGACGCACACUUCUGAGCCAAAAGUCCAUUGGUGUGAGUUGUGUGUCUAUGUCCCAUGGCUCUUCAACUUCUGUAAAGUGAGGGAACAUCCUUUUUUUUUUUUUUUUGUUUUUAAUAAAAUCCAUGGACAAACUUAUGAAAAUAUAAUACUGGUCUUUACAUAAAAUCAAAUUAAAUUAGCUUAAACUUUGUAUGUCAUUUUAGUACUCUUUGUCACAUUUUAUUGCCUGCUUGCCUGGGAAUCCAUGCAUAGUCUCUUCAGGUUUUUUUCUUACUUUACUUUUUUUUGGCUAUCUUCAAAUGCUUUGUGAUCUUCUGAUGUCUUGUGAUCUUCUUGCUAAAAUUUGAAAGCCACUAAUCUGCAAGGACUCAUGUCAUCGGUGGAGAAGAGCGGCUGAGGAGGGCUCUGUGGAUUGUCUACUCUCGAGGCACUGAGGAGACAAGGGCUCAGGCGCCGUCACAGUGGCUUCACGGACACCUUUGUCUUUCUCUAGUGAGCUGCUAUAUUUGAGAGAAAGCUGAAAAAAAGAUGUCUAAAGAGGUCCAAAAAUAAUCUGUCCUGAAGAACUAAUAUAUAUAUAAAGAUUUCCUCCCUUUGCUCCCUCUUCUUUGGGUCACAAGAGCACCAUAAGAAGAACUGAUCUUACUGAUUACUAUUAAUAUUGGAACAGGUUUUUCAUUGCUGAGUUAGCAGCUGUCAGAAUCUACUCCUUGGUGAGUUUUUAAUUAAUGAUAUCUGAAUCAUAGUAAAGCUAGAUGACAUUUGAUAAGGUAUAGAUCAAAUGGACACGUAAAAGUUCCAGGCAGAGGCAAUUUCUACAGUUUAAAAAAGAACCCAGAGAUGGAUCUUUUAUUGACACCAUAGAGACCUUGCCCACUAACAUAAAUCACUACUUUCUCACAUGGCCAGAAGAGAGGCACAGUUAGCUUAAGAAUACAGAAUAAAGUCUUCCUUGCAUUCAUCUCUUGCGGGUGCAACACGACGAAGCACUUGAUGGCAACAGAGAAGAGCUCAGCCAGUCUCAGUGUGAAAUGGAAACGCUCUGGCAAACAAGUCCACACUCCUGUCUUAGCAAAGAAGUGCUUUCUCACAACAGCUGCCUUACCAACUGACAUUACAUGCAGCAUGUCUUCUGGAAAAAAGAUUUCUCUUACUGCUGAGCAGAAGAGUGAAGAUAUGUUUUCACAGAUCACUUGAAUAUAAAGAAGAACCAUUUUUUGGCCAGAAAAUAGAUUAACAUCUUUGAAUCUCUGUUAAACAUGAAAUGCACAUUUACUACUCUUAGUUUCAUGAGAGUUAUAUUAGUUAAUGUUUUUAUUGAGAGUAACAUGUGACAUCACUCACUUUCCAGUUUCUCACACUUUUUUCUCUUAUCCUCAAGUAUUUUGUUCUUCUUUGGUUUAGGCAGCACAAUCAGAAAGAGAAAAAAAAAUCCAGAUUUGCAAACAUAAGAAAGAUUUCCUUCAAAAUUGGUUUUCUUUAGAAUAAUUUCAGGAGAAGGAGUAUAAUUAAUUAGGACUGGAGAUAGAGAAGGUGCUAGUACACCCAAUACCUAGGUCUAAUACAUUUUGAGGCUUCCACUGCAAUUCCACUAGGAAUGAGAGCAUCGCUUGUGCAAUAUGCAGCCUAUUAAAAAUAUUUACCCCCAAGAAAGAGUUUUAUGGGUUACAGUUAUACACAGACAUUAAGAAAAAUAUCCUGGACUGCAAGCUUUUGUGGGGUUAUUUUGGGUUGGUUUUUUUUUGGGGGGGGAGGGUGUGAGAAGGGGACAAAGACCAUGUUAUAGACCAGUCUAUAGCUUUCAAAGCACUAUUUUUCUGUCAGGCAAAUUUUGUAACUUCUCAUUUCACAGCUUGCCAACUUUCCCAUCCUUUAAAUCGGAGUAUCUUGAUGCCUAUUACUAAUAAGGUUCUUCUUGCUCGAAAUAAUGUAUUGGAAUCACUGUGAAAUUAAAAAAAAAUACCUGUUUUUUUUUUCUUUUUUAAAGAGCAGUCCCUUAAGGUGCAGUUUACUGAAUAACGCAAGUUAUUCUAGGAAUUAGGUAUGCAGGAUUACAUCAAACAUUAAAGAAUUACACCACUAGCUUAUUCUUAACAUGUCUGCUUUGUAAUCUGUAGAACAUGUCCGUGUACAAGAGAAAAGCAAUUUAUCUGAAUCUCUAAACGGUACAAUCAUUUAGCCUAUGUGAUUUAUUUUGAUUGGAAAUAUCUCCUGAUUUACCUCUUCCAAUGUAACCAUUAAUUUACAAUUUGAGUGAUAGUAUGUGGUUAAACAUUAACUUUUCAAUUAAUUUUUACAUAUCUACAAGGUCUAUAAUAGACAGCAGGUUCUGUAAUUACAAAUAAGGCACUAUAUAAAAUAAUGUAAUAUAUUUUAAAAGGCAAUGCCUUUUAGAUUGUGCUUGUCCUUCUUUUAAAAGAACUCUGGGAAUUUUGAAGGGUACAUGGAAAGAAACACUUUUUAUUUGAUGAAUUGAGUUUAUAAUAAAAUGGCUCCAAAGACCAAAUAAAAAAUAUCUGAGAUGGCAAAAGGCAGGAUAUUAAUGUAUUGAUAUCAUCUAGAUAAUAAUACAGUAUGUUCCUGAGCUUAGAGGUUUUCAGAAGCUUUGAGAAGUAAAAUGACUGUGUUUUCAAGAUAUCAAAAAGUUCUGAAGUACAUUUUACAGUUUAAAAGGUGGACUUAAAAAUAGGUGGUAUAUGCGCACACACACUUGUGAGUGCGUUGCCCUGCUAAAGCUGUAGAUUGGUUCCAUAAAGAUGGACUCUCUCUGAGAAAAUUUUCUCUAUAAGGAAUAUGUGGGCCUUAGGAGUCCUGUGGUAGCUCCAUACCUCAGGAUGCAGGAGGCAAUGUCGCAAAAAACCAAAGACUGACUGCAAUGUAUAAACAUCUCAGCUGUCCUCAGAUGCCAGAAGAGCCCUGGAGGCAGCGGGUAGCUUGUGCUGGUGGCUACAUCAGUACAACAAAUAAGGUGGCGUAAAGUUCCUCUAUGUCACCUUUGCCCUCUUCUUGCACCCUCAGGGCAAGCACAAGUCCAAAUUCGUUGUUGCCACAGGUUUGCAUUGUGGCCGGGUUCUGUAAUACUUUGCACGUUCCAAAAACAACCCUCUUUUCACUGCUCUCAAAGGUUAAUUCAAUAAACAAAACACAAUAAAAGCUACUGAAAAGCAGCUGCUCCCGCAGGAAGGAAGCUGGUUUACUGCUCCUUGGUUUCCCAUGCUGCCAGAAUAUUAAAUUGCCAUUUUCAACAAGGUGGCUACAGCUGCCUUAGAAUUUAACUUUCUUUUUUCAUUGCUGUUGCACUCAUGGUGGGAAGCUGCUCCUUUGAAAGUAUGAUCCAUCCUGGGUGAUCGCUGUGGGGUGGAGCAAAACACCCAUCCUAAGCAACCUGUUACAAAAUUUCCUUUAAUGUCUGUAGGGAUAGGAAUCUGGCUUUUUAAUUUAGAAGGAAACCUGAUGAUUUUUUAUAAAACUGCUAACAAUACCUUAUGCCAACUAUUUUUCAUGCUUCCCAGCUCCCUUGGUCUACCUACCUCUUAAGCUUGCGUGUAGGAAGAACUUCUGUCAUUCUCCUCAUGUAUCUUACUCACCUUCAUGUGGCUAUGCUUUCCCUCUUUGUUUUCCUGUACACACUUUGUACGGUUCAGUUGGUUUUCUGAACACUUGGUGUUCUAAAAAAUGUAUAUGUUGUACUGAAAUAUGUUUUUCCAUAGCCUAAUUGCACUGGUCACUCCAUGGCCCAUGCUAAAUCUCUGAUCAAUGUAUAAAUUUUAGUGAAAAAUUAGUUCAAGACAAUAGUUGAGGUACCGCUUAUUUUUUUUUUAGAUGGUAGACUUUAUUUUUAUGUAGAUUUUCCUGGGUGUGAGUAUAUGAAUGGAAUUCAUGACAGUGAAGAAAAUGACACUGAUUGUGCUUGAACCUUUCAGAGCACUGAAUAAAUCCAGCUUGUAUGA